rnacentral:rRNA from 1 species
AUUGAACGCUGGCGGCAGGCUUAACACAUGCAAGUCGAGCGGGGGAAGGUAGCUUGCUACCGGACCUAGCGGCGGACGGGUGAGUAAUGCUUAGGAAUCUGCCUAUUAGUGGGGGACAACAUCUCGAAAGGGAUGCUAAUACCGCAUACGUCCUACGGGAGAAAGCAGGGGAUCUUCGGACCUUGCGCUAAUAGAUGAGCCUAAGUCGGAUUAGCUAGUUGGUGGGGUAAAGGCCUACCAAGGCGACGAUCUGUAGCGGGUCUGAGAGGAUGAUCCGCCACACUGGGACUGAGACACGGCCCAGACUCCUACGGGAGGCAGCAGUGGGGAAUAUUGGACAAUGGGGGGAACCCUGAUCCAGCCAUGCCGCGUGUGUGAAGAAGGCCUUAUGGUUGUAAAGCACUUUAAGCGAGGAGGAGGCUACUUUAGUUAAUACCCAGAGAUAGUGGACGUCACUCGCAGAAUAAGCACCGGCUAACUCUGUGCCAGCCGCCGCAGUAA